UCGAAAAGGACCCUUCCUUCCCUCUCAGCAGGCAAUGUGAUAGACAGCUAAUACGAGUGUGUGGAGAAGUUGUCUCUGGCGGGGUCCUUCGUGGGAGGGGAAAGGAGCGCAAAAAGGGAAGAGGAAGCAAAAUGGAGGGAGGCGCUGCAGUUACAAUGAAUGCACUUUACUGAGACUUGUAGUUUGGAAGCCUCAGCCCCUUUUGGCAGAGAAGGCUGAAAAGGCAUGGUAAAACUUCAACUCCCAUGGCUCCCUGUACCAUUAUAGCUAAUGCAGGGAAUGAGCAGCCAGUAAUGAAAGGACCAAGACACUGACAUCUCUGACCCAUCCUCUGUUCGGAUAUCAGCCAGCAUGCCAACAACUUAAAUUAUGGAACAGGUUCCUAAGAUCUACAGAGAUACUCGCAGGAAUACCUCAGCAAGCAAGAGUCCAAAAGUGGCAGGUUAAAACCCUGAACCUUAAUCCAUGGCUGAUGAGAAACUCCACCCUGGGCACACAGAAGACUGGGCGACUUGGAAGCCGCUGAAGAGACUGCUCUGGUUCCUUGUGAUGCAGAACCAAUCUUAAGAAAUGGGGCUACAAAGUGGAGUCCACGACAUGCGAGUGUGGAGAAAAGCAAACCACAGACCACUUACUACAAUGUGGUCUGAGUCCCGCCACAUGCACAAUGAAGGACUUUCUUACAGCGACACCAAAGACACUCCCAAGUGGCCAACAUCUGGUCAAAGGAAAUUUAGUAUAAUGUCUAGUUUUUAAGUUUGUGGGUUUUUUAAAUACAUUAUAACUGUAUUCUUUAUUCACUUUUGAACACGAUAAAUAAAAGUUAAAGUGGUUUCAAACUGCA